rnacentral:rRNA from 1 species
AUUGAACGCUAGCGGGAUGCUUUACACAUGCAAGUCGAACGAGUGGCGGACGGGUGAGUAAUAUCUCGGAACGUGCCCAGUAGCGGGGGAUAACUACUCGAAAGAGUGUCUAAUACCGCAUACUCUUGGAGCGGCCUAUAUCGGAUAAGCUAGUUGGUGGGGUAAAGGCUCACCAAGGCAACGAUCCGUCGCUGGUUUGAGAGGAAGACCAGCCACACUGGGACUGAGACACGGCCCAGACUCCUACGGGAGGCAGCAGUGGGGAAUGUUGGACAAUGGGGGAAACCCUGAUGCAGCCAUGCCGCGUGUAUGAGAAGGCCUUCGGGUUGUAAAGUACUUUUGGCAGAGAAGCGGUAUCUGCAGAAGAAGCACCGGCUAACUACGUGCCAGCCGCCGCGGUAAUAC